AGAAUAAGCACCGGCUAACUACGUGCCAGCAGCCGCGGUAAUACGUAGGGUGCAAGCGUUAAUCGGAAUUACUGGGCGUAAAGCGUGCGCAGGCGGUUCUGUAAGACAGAUGUGAAAUCCCCGGGCUUAACCUGGGAAUUGCAUUUGUGACUGCAGGACUAGAGUUCAUCAGAGGGGGGUGGAAUUCCAAGUGUAGCAGUGAAAUGCGUAGAUAUUUGGAAGAACACCAAUGGCGAAGGCAGCCCCCUGGGAUGC
rnacentral:rRNA from 2 species